GUGGGGAAUAUUGGACAAUGGGCGCAAGCCUGAUCCAGCCAUGCCGCGUGAGUGAUGAAGGCCUUAGGGUUGUAAAGCUCUUUCAGUGGGGACGAUAAUGACGGUACCCACAGAAGAAGCCCCGGCUAACUUCGUGCCAGCAGCCGCGGUAAUACGAAGGGGGCUAGCGUUGUUCGGAUUUACUAGGCGUAAAGCGCACGUAGGCGGAUCGUUAAGUCGGGGGUGAAAUCCUGGAGCUCAACUCCAGAACUGCCUUCGAUACUGGCGAUCUUGAGUCCGGAAGAGGUGAGUGGAACUCCUAGUGUAGAGGUGGAAUUCGUAGAUAUUAGGAAGAACACCAGUGGCGAAGGCGGCUCACUGGUCCGGUACUGACGCUGAGGUGCGAAAGCGUGGGGAGCAAACAGGAUUAGAAACCCUUGUAGUCC
rnacentral:rRNA from 1 species